rnacentral:rRNA from 1 species
GAUGAACGCUGGCGGCGUGCCUAAUACAUGCAAGUCGAGCGAACGGACGAGAAGCUUGCUUCUCUGAUGUUAGCGGCGGACGGGUGAGUAACACGUGGAUAACCUACCUAUAAGACUGGGAUAACUUCGGGAAACCGUAGCUAAUACCGGAUAAUAUUUUGAACCGCAUGGUUCAAAAGUAAAAGACGGUCUUGCUGUCACUUAUAGAUGGAUCCGCGCUGCAUUAGCUAGUUGGUAAGGUAACGGCUUACCAAGGCAACGAUGCAUAGCCGACCUGAGAGGGUGAUCGGCCACACUGGAACUGAGACACGGUCCAGACUCCUACGGGAGGCAGCAGUAGGGAAUCUUCCGCAAUGGGCGAAAGCCUGACGGAGCAACGCCGCGUGAGUGAUGAAGGUCUUCGGAUCGUAAAACUCUGUUAUUAGGGAAGAGCAUAUGUGUAAGUAACUGUGCACAUCUUGACGGUACCUAAUCAGAAAGCCACGGCUAACUACGUG